rnacentral:rRNA from 2 species
UGGGGAAUAUUCCGCAAUGGACGAAAGUCUGACGGAGCAAUGCCGCGUGAGUGAUGAAGGCCUUUGGGUCGUAAAACUCUGUCUUUGGGGAUGAAACCAUUAUGUGCUAAUACCACAUAGUAUUGACAGUACCCGAGGAGGAAGCCCCGGCUAACUACGUGCCAGCAGCCGCGGUAAUACGUAGGGGGCGAGCGUUGUCCGGAAUCAUUGGGCGUAAAGGGCGUGUAGGCGGUUUUGUAAGUCAGAUGUGAAAACUUGAGGCUCAACUUCAAGCCUGCAUCUGAAACUACAUCACUUGAGGGCAGGAGAGGAAAGUGGAAUUCCAUGUGUAGCGGUGAAAUGCGUAGAUAUAUGGAAGAACACCAGUGGCGAAGGCGACUUUCUGGACUGAACCUGACGCUGAGGCGCGAAAGCCAGGGGAGCGAACG